GUGAGGAAUCUUCCACAAUGGGCGAAAGCCUGAUGGAGCAACGCCGCGUGCAGGAUGAAGGCCCUCGGGUCGUAAACUGCUUUUAUAAGUGAAGAAUAUGACGGUAACUUAUGAAUAAGCACCGGCUAACUACGUGCCAGCAGCCGCGGUCAUACGUAGGGUGCAAGCAUUAUCCGGAGUGACUGGGCGUAAAGAGUUGCGUAGGUGGUUUGUUAAGUAGGUAGUGAAAUCUGACGGCUCAACCGUACAGGCUAUUACCUAAACUGGCAAACUCGAGAAUGGUAGAGGUAACUGGAAUUUCUUGUGUAGGAGUGAAAUCCGUAGAUAUAAGAAGGAACACCAAUGGCGUAGGCAGGUUACUGGACCAUUUCUGACACUGAGGCACGAAAGCGUGGGGAGCGAACGGGAUUAGAUACCCCUGUAGUCC
rnacentral:rRNA from 1 species